rnacentral:rRNA from 1 species
AGAGUUUGAUCCUGGCUCAGAAUCAACGCUGGCGGCGCGCCUAACACAUGCAAGUCGAACGAGAAAGUGGAGCAAUCCAUGAGUACAGUGGCGUACGGGUGAGUAACACGUGGGUAAUCUACCUCUUAGUGCGGAAUAACCCUGGGAAACCGGGGCUAAUACCGCAUAAGCUCGAGAGAGGAAAGCAGCAAUGCGCUGAGAGAGGAGCCCGCGGCCGAUUAGCUUGUUGGCAGGGUAAAAGCCUACCAAGGCAAAGAUCGGUAGCCGGCCUGAGAGGGCACACGGCCACACUGGCACUGAAACACGGGCCAGACUCCUACGGGAGGCAGCAGUGGGGAAUCUUGCACAAUGGGGGAAACCCUGAUGCAGCGACGCCGCGUGAGCGAUGAAGCCCUUCGGGGUGUAAAGCUCUUUCGGCAGGGAAGAUGAUGACGGUACCUGCAGAAGCAGCUGCGGCUAACUACGUGCCAGCAGCCGCGGUAAUACGUAGGCAGCAAGCGUUGUUCGGAGUUACUGGGCGUAAAGGGUGUGUAGGCGGUUUGGUAAGUCUGGUGUGAAAUCUCCCGGCUCAACUGGGAGGGUGCGCCGGAAACUGCCGGACUCGAGUGCGGGAGAGGAGAGUGGAAUUCCUGGUGUAGCGGUGAAAUGCGUAGAUAUCAGGAGGAACACCGGUGGUGUAGACGGCUCUCUGGACCGUAACUGACGCUGAAACACGAAAGCGUGGGUAGCAAACAGGAUUAGAUACCCUGGUAGUCCACGCCCUAAACGAUGCAUAUUUGGUGUGGGUCAUUCAGUUGAUCCGUGCCGGAGCUAACGCGUUAAAUAUGCCGCCUGGGGAGUACAGUCGCAAGGCUGAAACUCAAAGGAAUUGACGGGGGCCCGCACAAGCGGUGGAGCAUGUGGUUCAAUUCGACGCAACGCGAAGAACCUUACCUGGGCUCGAACGGCUUCUCAACGGCGGUGGAAACACUGUUACCCCGCAAGGUUGAU